rnacentral:rRNA from 1 species
GGUGAACCUGCGGAAGGAUCAUUACUGAAUUGUAAUGGGGGUUGAUGCUGGCAGUCCUACCUUUUGGUCUGCAUGUGCUUGCUCCCGACAAUCUUUAUCCCAAACACCUGUGUGCACCUUUUGAAGAGGGGGAGGGUUUUUUGUGUAGUAAAUAUUACUACUAGGAUUAUCCUCCUUCUUUUACACAUUAUACACUGCUUGCAAAUGUUGAACGUGAAUUGUGCCUGUAAGGCAUUAAUAAAAUACAACCUUUAACAACGGAUCUCUUGGCUCUCGCAUCGAUGAAGAACGCAGCGAAAUGCGAUAAGUAAUGUGAAUUGCAGAAUUCAGUGAAUCAUCGAAUCUUUGAACGCACCUUGCGCUCCUUGGUAUUCCGAGGAGCACGCCUGUUCGAGUGUCGUGAAGUUUCUCAAGCUUGGAUGCUUUUUGUUUGACGAAAAUGCUCUUGGCUUGGUAUUGGGCUUUGCCGUGUCCCCAUUCUUUGGGAACGGCUGGUCUUAAAGGUAUUAGCUUGACCCCUGACGUGGCAUUGGUUCUACUCAGUGUGAUAAAUAAUCUGACCGCUGAGGACAUCUUUCGAGAUGGCCAGUUCUAGUUGGGGUUGCUCUCUAAUCCGGUUAACAGGGUCUCCUCAGAUCCUGCUCCACUUUCAAUUUUGACCUCGAAUCAGGUGGGACUACCCGCUGAACUUAAGCAUAUCAAUAAGCGGAGGAAAAGAAACUAACAAGGAUUCCCCUAGUAACGGCGAGUGAAGCGGGAAAAGCUCAAAUUUAAAAUCUGGUAUAUCUUUGAUUGCCUGAGUUGUAAUCUAGAGAAGUGUUUUCCGUGCUGGACUGUGUACAAGUUUCCUGGAUACGGAACAUCAUAGAGGGUGAGAAUCCCGUCCUUGACACAAGACU